AAGUCGUAACAAGGUUUCCGUAGGUGAACCUGCGGAAGGAUCAUUAACGAGUUGUUGAAACGGGUUGUUGCUGGCCUCUUUUUGGGCAGCGUGCACGCCUCGCUCGCAUCCAUCUUUUUAUCUCUUGUGCACAACCUGUAGUUCUGUGCCGAUGGGGUGCCUCAUGUGCACCUCUGGUGGCCUCAGUCCUAUGUUUUUCACAGUCACACCACGGUUCGAUCGAAUGUGCCUCUGGCGUAUCUAUGUAUAACGCUAAAAGAAAUAUAACUUUCAGCAACGGAUCUCUUGGCUCUC
rnacentral:misc_RNA from 1 species